AUUGAACGCUGGCGGCAGGCUUAACACAUGCACGUCGAGCGAGCGGCGGACGGGUGAGUAAUGUCUGGGAAACUGCCUGAUGGAGGGGGAUAACUACUGGAAACGGUAGCUAAUACCGCAUACCAUCGGAUGUGCCCAGAUGGUAUUAGCUAGUAGGUGGGGUAAAGGCUUACCUAGGCGACGAUCCCUAGCUGGUCUGAGAGGAUGACCAGCCACACUGUAACUGAGACACAGUCCAGACUCCUACUGGAAGCAGCAGUGGUGGAUAUUGCACGAAGGGCGCAAGGCUGAUGCAGCCAUGCCGCGUGUAUGAAGAAGGCCUUCGGGUUAUAGAGUACUUUCAGCGGGGAGGCGUGACCCGCAGAAGAAGCAGCGGCUAACUCCGUGCCAGCAGCCGCGGUAUUC
rnacentral:rRNA from 1 species